rnacentral:rRNA from 1 species
UACGAAGGGGGCUAGCGUUGCUCGGAUUGGCUGGGCGUAAAGGGCGCGUAGGCGGUGCGGUAAGUCACCUGUGAAAACUCCCGGCUCAACUGGGAGCCUGCAGGCGAAACUGCCGUGCUGGAGUGUGGGAGAGGUGCGUGGAAUUCCCGGUGUAGUGGUGAAAUGCGUAGAUAUCGGGAGGAACACCAGUGGCGAAGGCGACUUCUUGGCCUGUUCUUGACGCUGAGGCGCGAAAGCUGGGGGAGCAAACGGG